rnacentral:rRNA from 1 species
UACGAAGGGGGCUAGCGUUGUUCGGAAUUACUGGGCGUAAAGGGCGCGUAGGCGGUUUGGACAGUCAGAUGUGAAAUUCCUGGGCUCAACCUGGGGGGCUGCAUUUGAUACGUUCGGACUAGAGUGGGGAAGAGGGUCGUGGAAUUCCCAGUGUAGAGGUGAAAUUCGUAGAUAUUGGGAAGAACACCGGUGGCGAAGGCGGCGACCUGGUCCUUGACUGACGCUGAGGCGCGAAAGCGUGGGGAGCAAACAGG